AACAGAGAAAUGUGUAUCAUUUUCACAGUCAGUGUGGGUUGUUUCUAGCGCUGACAUUCAUCCGAACGGCCGGCCACGAAGCCGACGCGCGCGCGUCGUAGUGCCAGUAGCACCAGUAGUGCCCGUAGCGCGACAGCCUUUGGCGACAGCAGUAAAAGGAGUUUGACAAAGCGCGUGACGUGAUCUCGGUCCUCAACGGGCCAUCUUUAUCGCUCUUGCGAAAGUGCUCCAAGUGCGCCGACCACGUUGUCGUUGCUGCUGCAUAUGUUGUCUGAGCGGGCGACGGUUUCACGGUUUCGCUGCAGAUACAGGAGCGCCGAUUCACCCCAUAUCGGCUCAUUAACUGCCUGAACGAUUGUUUUAAUAUUUUCUGACCUUGUAUGUCAUCAGUGCGGAAACGGCAGCGUGACCGCAACUUGGCAUCUUGACGCGUGGAGCCGGCGUUGACUUGCUUCAUCAGCUUCAGUCUUCAGUAAUAGACAGUCACGGUACCAAUUUGUUGAAGACCAAGAAGUGAAGUAAUUGGAGACAAGCUCGUUUAUUAAAUGUCCUAGUGGCAUAAAGCCAAAGAUAGCAAAGAAGAGCCACGUAAUAAGAAGAUUCAGAAAGAACAAUGGCAUUCUCAGCAUUCAGAGCCCCACAUGUGAGCACCAUUGCUUUGGCAACUGCAGCAGUAGGUGGAGUAGCUGCAGCUGCAGCUUUUAUUCUGCUGAGGCACAGGGCUACCAGCAGAAAUAACUUUGUGCCUGUGGGGCGUGUGGCCAAUAUUUUCAUCUAUCCAAUUAAGGCAAUUGCUGGGAUUGAGGUGCCUUAUGCUGACUGCAUUGUGACUGGACCUGUCUACGAGGGACUCAAAGACAGAUCAACCUUUCCCUUUCAUGGCUCCAAUCACCGUCACUGUCGAAGGUUUAUGCUGAUUGUGAAAGGUGACAACUUUAUUUCAAUGCGUGAAGAGCCCCGCCUUGGCCUUAUCAAGAUGAAUUUUGAUAACGGCAAGUUGACACUGACAGCUGAUGGUCAUCCACCACUCAUUAUCGAUGCCUGUGACCCAGAUGAACUAAGCAAGCCUUCUUUUACUGUCAGAAUGCGGCAAUUUAGCUACAAUGCUGUGGAAGUGUCCAAAGAAGCAUCGAGGUGGCUGGGGGCAUACCUUCAGAAAGAUGACAUUCGCCUUGUGAGAAUAAUUCUUGACCAAGAAGCACUUGACCGAGGGAAGAACAGCCCAACAUCGUUGGUCUGCCAUGAUGAAUCAGCAUUUCACGUCCUGUCAAAAGCUUCACUUGAUGUACUGUUGUCGAAGCUCCCUCCAGGCAGCAAUAUUGAACGGAAAAAUUUUCGACCUGCUCUCUUUAUUGAUGAAUGUGAAGCUCACGCAGAGGACCACUGGGGGCGCAUGAGGAUUGGUGAUGCAGAAAUGGCCUUGUCACAUCGCACCACAAGGUGCCUUGUUACAACUGUUGAUCAAGAUGCCGGUGUCAGGACUGACAAGGAGCCCCUAGUCACAUUGCGGAAGUACAGAGUGGACAAGUCACCCGAAGGCAUUAAAAAAUAUACACAUCAGCCCCUGUUUGGUAUCAGCACUUAUCACAUAAAAGGUGGCAGGGUUAACGUCGGAGACAUAGUAUAUGCAGUGGUAUCACCAGAACCUCUUCUGUGAACCUACGGUCCAUAUAGGCAGCUGGCACUGUGGUGUGCACAGCUAUUUCUGUACUGAUCUUAAGAUGUUAUAGCUCGUUGAGUUCUGCAGUGUUGUGGACUUAUUUCAAAGCUUCCGACAUGCAAAUCGAGGCUGCAUGUUUAUCAGCGUGACUUAGUUAUUUCUUUGAGCAUUCAUGGGAUCACUGAUGCUUGUUUAUAAUACGUGGUGACAUUGUUAUUGUUUAUGCUUUGGUUAUAAAUUUCGAGUUGCAUACUCAA
rnacentral:misc_RNA from 1 species